rnacentral:rRNA from 1 species
AAAGUCCGCAAGGAUGAGUAAAGCGGCGCACGGGUGAGUAACACGUGGGUAAUCUACCUUUUGGAUUGGAAUAACCUGUCGAAAGACGGGCUAAUGCCGAGUAAGUUCUUUUUAACGUAGAGUUUUAAAGAAGAAAGAUGGUGCAAGCUAUCGCCGAUUGAUGAGCCUGCGUCCCAUUAGCUAGUUGGUAGGGUAACGGCCUACCAAGGCAAUGAUGGGUACCUGGUCUGAGAGGAUGACCAGGCACACUGGAACUGAAACACGGUCCAGACUCCUACGGGAGGCAGCAGUAGGGAAUAUUGCGCAAUGGGGGAAACCCUGACGCAGCCACGCCGCGUGAGUGAGGAAGGCCUUCGGGUUGUAAAGCUCUGUCACCUGGGAAAAACGACUAUCUGGGGAAAGUUCAGGUAGUGUGAUGGUACCAGGGGAGGAAGCACCGGCAAACUCUGUGCCAGCAGCCGCGGUAAUACAGAGGGUGCAAGCGUUGUUCGGAUUUACUGGGCGUAAAGCGUGCGUAGGCGGUAUUGAGAGUCGCGGGUGAAAUCCCAGGGCUUAACCCUGGAACUGCCUGCGAGACCUCAGUACUAGAGUGUGAGAGGGGAUGGUGGAAUACCCAGUGUAGCGGUGAAAUGCGUAGAGAUUGGGUGGAACACCGGUGGCGAAGGCGACCAUCUGGCUCACAACUGACGCUCAGGCACGAAAGCAUGGGUAGCAAACAGGAUUAGAUACCCUGGUAGUCCAUGCCGUAAACUAUGCAUACAAGAUGUAGUGGGGUUUUUCUCCUGCUGUGUCGAAGCUAACGCAAUUAGUAUGCCGCCUGGGGAGUACGGUCGCAAGACU